rnacentral:rRNA from 1 species
AUGACAGGCUAUCCUAGCCCGUUCCUGUUUCCCCAAAAAAGAGACAUCUCCGGUGUGGCCGCUCCGCCUCCACCUCCUCUCCCUGGCUUCGGCCGUCGCCUUGCGCCCCACCUUCUCCCCUGGCUCUGGCCGCCGCGCCGAGCCCCACCGUCUCCCCUGGCUCCGGUCGCCGCCUCGUGCCCCACCUUCUCCCCUAGAUCCGGCCGUGGCCCGGCGCCCCACCUUCUCCCUGGCUCCGGCCGCCGCCCCGUGCCCCACCUUCUACCCCCGGCUCCGACCGUCCCCCAUGCCUCACCUUCUCCCUCGGCUCCGGCCGUCGCCCCACGCCCCACCUUCUCCCUCGGCUCCGGUCGCCGCCUAAUCCCUCACCAUCUCGUGCCCCUGGCCGCGCCCCAUCCACCAUCCCCAUCGCCGGCCGCCCCCAUCUGCAGCGCGCCUGCCGCCCCCAUCCCCAGCGCACCAACCCCCAGGUCGCCACCUGCCUCAUCGCGACGCCGCCCACUGCCCUUCCUCCUGGCUUCUCCCAGCCAUGUCGAGCGCCUCCUCCCUGCUCCAAGCUCGCUGCAGACUACACAGAGCCGCCAGCCCCCGCCGCCUCCCGUGCUAGUACAACGCCGCCCCUGUACAAGGUUCAAAGAACUUACAGUGAGAAGGAAGGGAGAUGCUAAGGUCCGGCAGCUUCCUCGUUGCCAUCCUGGUAUAGCCCCUCAAGACGACCUCUGGUUCGGCCUUUCGUCAAAGGAGAAAAGAAGACUGAUGUGGUGCUCCUGUUGGAUGUACUCUGGAGAAGAGUUAACAGAAAGUUGUAGCAAAGAACAAAAAAGAAGAAAAAAAAUAUAG